GAGGCAAUGGGUAGCUAUUUAAAUUCAUUGUAAACUGAGAAAACUGUAAACAGGGAUGACGCUGCUUAUGACAUAGUCACAUACACAGUGUCACAUAGUUAAGGGGAUCAGCCACAUUGAGUGUGGAUCUCUCCUCCUCUCGGAGCAACGUUCCUAUUGACAUUCGGAGAGGCACGCUGCCCCCAGAUGCUCAUUUUCAAACACAGGACGUGAGCAGUUUCACAAAUAUCCACCAGAUGGUACCUUCCUACCAGAAAUUAGGUUUCAGGUUGUGAAAAUCCAAAUUGUUUUUCCAUUCCACGGACAAGCUAUAGAAUUAGAUGCCUAUCCUGGCUACGGUCAGAGGAAAGAAAAUGGGUGAGAACCAAUUCCAGGGAACGACCCACGGAGUUUUUAUUCUCAAGAAUACCAAACAGAACUUGCAGGGUCCUUUGUGUGGUGGAGGGAGGCAGCUGCUGUGGAUGAGUCAUGGAAAGGCCAUGUGCAAGGGAAAGACCUUGAGGUUAUCUCCGGAGAGGGGUUGGUUGUAAACAUCCUCAAUGGCACCUUUGUUUUAUCCCACUAGUUGCCAAAUACCUGUGAUUCUGCACAGCGCUCCUGGAAUGCUCAGAAAUUAUGACUGGUUACUCUGUCAAAGAAAGUCUUUGUUGUAGAAACUUCCUCAUUUGUUCAGGCCUUUGGGUUCUAAGCCCUGAGCCAUAGUCUCCCCCGGUUGUUUGCCUGUGUGGGCUAGGGAGGGUGACUGAUGUUCACCGUGGGGUGACCACCUUGUCCUGGUUUGGCAGCUGCCUUCCUGCCUUUAGCAGUGACAGUAAAGCAAACCCAGGCGGUUGGUCAUCUCGGUGCACUGAGCUGUACACACCAGGGACAGUGCUGGAUCCUCACGCAGGUUCAAUGAGCUGGGCGAUUUGAGGUGGUAGAUGCCGUCUUCACAUGAUUAAUCAUUUUGUUCUUGGCAUUUUCCUAGUAGGUCUCCCUGCUUCCUUUUGCCAGAAAAGGUAAAGUUCUGGAGAAAGAGGUUUUUUCUUGGCUUUUGAGUUCAGGCCUUACAGAGGUAAAACCGAGUAGAUGUGGGAGAACAUGUGGUAAACAGAUACAACUUUCCCGGGAUGGGGAGAGAAAAAUAGUGAAACUCCAUCUCCACUAAAAAUACAAAAACUAGCCCGGCGUGGUGGCACGCGCCUGUAAUCCCAACUACUUGGGAGGCUGCGGCAGGUGAAUCACUUGAAGCCGGGAGGUGAAGGCCGCAGUAACGCUGUUCCCUGCAUUGGAUGAAGUGCUCCCCACCAAACUCUCUCACCGGAGAGGGUGGGAUCUGCGGGCUCCCUGGGUGGCUUGAUUUCGACACCCUGUGGGCUGCCUUCCACUCUGGUACUUUCCUCUGCCUGCUGAUGCUUGAAAUUCCUUGAACCGGCCACACACACCUGCUUUCUGGAAUCAGAACACUGGAAAGGCUUCCUGGGACGGGAGAAGAGUGAUUUACAUUCCUGCCGAGGUGUAAAGCUGCGGAUGGCAGGUUCUCUCCUGAGAACCGGCUUCAACUAGGAGGAGGAGGUUGGAAGCAGGACCCCGAGCUGACCUGUUGACCAGGAGAGGAGUAAGCAGAAGGGAGGCAGGAGCGGGCGGAGGAGAGAAGGCCGGGGAGCCGGGAUGGGGGUCACCGCCCCCGGGGAGCCGGGAUGGGGGUCACCGCCCCCGGGGAGCCCGGAUGGGGGUCACCGCCCCCGCCCCCGUGAUGCCGAGCUGAAAAAGACAGUCUCCAGGUAGGAUAAUCCGUCACACUAGAUGCAUAUAGCUUCAUGCAAGAAGAGCGACUGUUGCGCUGUCUUCUACCCCCUUUGGCCGCGAUCCCGUGACAAUGCCGGCAUCCGGGCACCAACUGGCUUUUGCGAACCGCUCUCCGCUCCCCGCCCGGAUUCCGAAGCCCGGAGCCGUUUACAGUUUGAGGCGCCGUGUGCCGCCCCCUGGUGGCCGGAGGCCGUUACUGUCGCGGCUGAGGGGGCGUCCCGGUGUAUCCGCAGCGCGCCCUGGCCGCCCUCUGGUGGCCGGAGGCCGUUACUGUCGCGGCUGAGGGGGCGUCCCGGUGUAUCCGCAGCGCGCCCUGGCCGCCCCCUGGUGGCCGGAGGCCGUUACUGUCGCGGCUGAGGGGGCGUCCCGGUGUAUCCGCAGCGCGCCCUGGCCGACCCCUGGUGGCCGGAGGCCGUUACUGUCGCGGCUGAAGGGGCGUGUCCCGGUGUAUCCGCAGCGCGCCCUGGCUGCCCCCUGGUGGCCGGAGGCCGUUACUGUCGCGGCUGAGGGGGCGUCCCGGUGUAUCCGCAGCGCGCCCUGUCCCGCCAUAUACAUUCCGUGCUUUUCAAACACCCGCCGUGGGCUAAGCAUGGGACCCACGUGGGGCGGGGACACACGGCGAUAAAGAGCCAGGCCCUCGCUGCCAAGGAGCUUUCCCGUAACACCGAUGCAUCAAACAAAAGGCAGCAGUGAGGAUGCCAGAGUUCAUGGGUUUCUAGAAGACAAGUUUUCAACUGCAGAUACAAACAUCAGGACGUCAAUGUAUCUGCUAGGAGACACCCGGACAGUGUUGAGAACACAGAACCUGGAGGCUAAACCCCCAGCUUUCUAUGCCAGCUGAGAGUCUGUGGGCACAUUACUCAGCGUCUCUGAACCUCAUGCUCCUCCCCUGUGACAUGUAGAUUGCUAAACCCAUCUCACAGGGCUAUCUUCUGCAUUUAAAGAAUAAAAUAACACAUGAGGG
rnacentral:lncRNA from 10 species